ACGCACAGUUCAUUGUCCUGCUCUUUAUUUUUUGAGAGUAGUGAUAUUUCUGUUGUGCAAGAAAAAGCUGGAGGUAAAUUAGCAGAGUGGCUACUUGGUGCCGUCUCUGCCAGUCCCCUUCACACACAC
rnacentral:snoRNA from 1 species